AUCUUCCUCAUACUUGGUGUUCAGGUAUCAGGGCAAAGGCACUCGGGUUUCACGUACAGAGACAGGAGCAGGAAAGA